rnacentral:rRNA from 1 species
UAGAGUUUGAUUCCUGGCUCAGAACGAACGCUGGCGGCGUGCUUAAUACAUGCAAGUCGUACGAGAAAGUUCCGGCAACGGGACGAGUAAAGUGGCGAACGGGUGAGUAACACGUGGAUAAUCUGCCCUUCAAUCCGGGAUAAGCCUCUGAAAGGAAGUCUAAUACCGGAUGACACCGUCGGGCGGCAUCGUCUGACGGUCAAAGGCGGGGCAACCUGCCGUUGAGGGAUGAAUCCGCGCUCCAUUAGCUUGUUGGUAGGGUAACGGCCUACCAAGGCGACGAUGGAUAGCCGACCUGAGAGGGUGACCGGCCACACUGGGACUGAGAUACGGCCCAGACUCCUACGGGAGGCAGCAGUAGGGAAUAUUGCGCAAUGGACGAAAGUCUGACGCAGCAACGCCGCGUGGGUGAUGAAGCUUUUCGGAGUGUAAAACCCUGUCAGUGGGGAAGAACCGUAUGGGGAGUCACUGCCCUGUACCAGACGGACCCACAGAGGAA